rnacentral:RNase_P_RNA from 1 species
GAAGUCGGCUGGACAGUCGCGGCAUCCCCAUUCGCUUUUGGGCGGAGAGGUGGGUGUGGAGGAAAGUCCGGGCUCCAUAGGGCAGAGUGCCAGGUAAUUCCUGGGGGGCGUGAGCCUACGGAAGAAAGUGCAGCAGAAAAUAUACCGCCGAUGGCUUUGGUUUUUGGACUUGAAGCACAGGUAAGGUUGAAAUGGUGCGGUAAGAGCGCACCGCGCUGUUGGUAACAAUCAGUGGCAGGGUAAACCCCACUUGGAGCAAGACCAAAUAGGGGAACAUUGGCGCGGCCCGCGUUGUUCCCGGGUAGGUUGCUUGAGCGGCGUGGUGACACGUCCGCCAGAUGAAUGACUGUCCACGACAGAACCCGGCUUAUAGGCCGACUUCCACC